CCCAACCUAAACAAAAAGCACUUAUUUUGGAACAUAUGUUUGUCUGCAUAACUGUCUUUCUCUAUUGUCAAAACUCAUACGUAUCAGGACUUUAGACAGGAUCCCUAGAAUUGGAAGAGUACCAACUAGUUUAUUUUUCUUGUAAGAACUUUUCCUAAUUGUUGACUGCUUUUAUUAAAUAUAAACAACUUUUUCAAAUGCAUAAACAUCAGAUACUGUAUUUAGUAAGGGCUCAAGUUUAAGCAAACAUUUGGCAAUGUAUAUUACAAGUGACAUUCCUCCUUCUGGAAUGAAAAUUUAGUAAGUAUAUUUGAGCAAAUGAAGCUGUCAAAUGUUUAAGAAUAUACAACCAAAAAAAUAAAUAUGCAGGUAAUACCUAAGAACUAAUGUCAUCUUGCUGUCAACUAGCCUCAGGAAAUGAAAAUAUGUAACGGAUUCUAAUAUAUGAAUACCUCACUAAAAACACUGUUUGUAUGACUUACAUGAAGAACUGACACAUCAUCCAAGAAUUCCAUAUGUGAAAUCAACACGCAAAGGUAACAUCUAGAGGAAUAUAAUUGGCUGUUUCUCCAUUCUCUGUCAAUGAUACCCUGAACUAAACACUUUACAUAUAUGGACCCAUUUCAGCCUCAGAAUGACUGAUGAGGUGGGUACUGUUAUAUCCCCAUUUUACAGAUAAGCAAACAAGCACAGGGCAGUCAGCCUGUCUGGCACAGCAGAGACGCAGAGUCCCUGUUCUUGACUGUUACUCACAGUUCAUUACUUACUAGGCCCACACCAAGUGCAGUGUACUGUGACAGACGUGUUAUGAGCAUUGUGCCAUAUGCUCUUCAAAACGAGUCUUCAUGGGGCUGGGGGGGUUGUGUGAGCCCCCCUCUGGGUGAGGAGCAAUGGGGGUGAGGGGAAGGAGCAUGCCUGGAGGCAUGCAGCUCAUUAAAGCAGCAGAACUCCAUUCUCACAAGCCGAUCUUCUCCCAAACCCUUCAGUUCUGAGCAGGGAGGCCACACAGUCCCUCCUCAGACCCCCACAUUCUAUUUCUAGGUUCAUUUAUGCCCUUAGGACACCUUUUACCUUCCGCCACCCUUAAACCUCUUACAAUUCUAAAUAGUCAGUUACAAUUCCUAUUCCUCCAGCUCUGUGUCUUCCCAAACUUUUAUAAUAUUUCAGCACAUUCUUGACUACUGAAAAAUGAGAUCAGGAUUUGUGUAACAGUCUUAACUGGAACCACCAUUCUGUUUAUCUAAAAAAAUCUGGAGAAAGCAAUAAGGUACAAGACUUUUUUUUUUUUUUUUUAAAUUUAGAGACAGACUCUCUCUGUCACACUCUCUCUCUGUCAGGCUGGGGUAACAUGGCACAAUCACUGCAGCCUCAAGCGAUCCUCUUGCCUAGCCAGGAUUAUAGGCACACGCCACCAUGCCUGGCUGAUUUUUAAAAUUUUUUGUAGAGGCAGGGGUCUCACUAUGUUGCCUGUGCUAGCCUCGACCUCCUGGGCUCAAACAAUCCUCCCAUCUGGGCCUCCCAGAGCGCUAGGAUUACAGGUACAGGCUACUGUGCCCAGGCUUAAACACUUUUUGACUAAAGGAAAACUACGUCCAUUCAACAAAUCUUUCAAUUUACAUUAAUUUCGUAAUUUCACAACUUGAAGAAAAAAAAUAAAAAACUAUCUUUCUGGUCUCUCCCACCAAUGGCUUUAUGAAACAAAGAAAAGAGGAUAGAAGAAAGAUUUAACUGUCUGGUGUUCUGAUGUUUAUAUCUGUGAAUAAGGUACGGCUUAUUAAAAUAUUUUACUUACUAAACCAAAAAGUAUUUUAUUUGCCAAUACAUACAUUUAUACUUGCUUUAUGUUACAUGUGUUUUUCUAAGUACAAAAUUAAGAUAUGCCAUGUUGUCAUAAGUAAUUCAGUCACUGUAUCUUAUAUAUCAACUUAUAUUGUAAUGAAAUUGUAUUGAAGAGCUUACAUAUAGAAAAGUGUAAUAAAUCAUAAUGUACAGUUCAAUGAAUUAUUUCAAAGUGAA